UACGUAGGGGGCUAGCGUUGUCCGGAAUUAUUGGGCGUAAAGCGCGCGCAGGCGGUCCUUUAAGUCUGAUGUGAAAGCCCACGGCUCAACCGUGGAGGGUCAUUGGAAACUGGGGGACUUGAGUGCAGGAGAGAAGAGUGGAAUUCCACGUGUAGCGGUGAAAUGCGUAGAGAUGUGGAGGAACACCAGUGGCGAAGGCGGGUCUCUGGGCCGAUACUGACGCUGAGGAGCGAAGGCCAGGGGAGCAAACGGG
rnacentral:rRNA from 1 species